GACGGAAGGUGCAAGCGUUGCUCGGAAUCACUGGGCGUAAAGGGUGCGUAGGCGGCCGUGCAAGUCUGGCGUGAAAGCCCCGGGCUCAGCCCGGGAAGUGCGCUCGAAACUGCGCGGCUCGAGUGCCGGAGGGGAGAGUGGAAUUCCUGGUGUAGCGGUGAAAUGCGUAGAUAUCGGGAGGAACACCUGUGGCGAAAGCGGCGCACUGGACCACAUCUGACGCUGAGGCGCGAAAGCUAGGGGAGCAAACAGG
rnacentral:rRNA from 1 species